rnacentral:rRNA from 1 species
UACGUAGGGGGCAAGCGUUGUCCGGAUUUAUUGGGCGUAAAGAGCGUGUAGGCGGCCACACAGGUCAGCUGUGAAAACUCGAGGCUCAACCCCGAGACGUCGGUUGAAACCGUAUGGCUAGAGUCCGGAAGAGGAGAGUGGAAUUCCCGGUGUAGCGGUGAAAUGCGCAGAUAUCGGGAAGAACACCCGUGGCGAAGGCGGCUCUCUGGGACGGUACUGACGCUGAGACGCGAAAGCGUGGGGAGCGAACAGG